rnacentral:rRNA from 1 species
AUGAGGAAGCUCUUCUUCUCCGAGUUGACCUCCUGCAAGGAGACCAAGCUGCAGUCCGCCACCCACUCAUGGCUGCCCAUGGACAAAGGCAAGCUCUCCAAGUUCACCGGCCACUCCAGCUCCUCCUCCUCCAUAGAAUCUCUGAUGAAAAUGCCGGAGCCGCCGGUCCUCCCGCACUUCAAGCCCGCUGACUACGUCGACAUACUGGCCCAGAUUCACGAGGAGCUGGAGUACUGCCCUCCUGACGAGAAGUCGUGCCUGUACCUGCUCCAGUUCCAGGUCUUCCGCGGGCUUGGCGAGGCCAAGCUGUCGCGAAGGAGCCUCCAGGCUGCCUGGGAGAAGGCGAGCACGAUACACGAGAAGCUCAUAUUCGGGGCAUGGCUCAAGUACGAGAAGAGAGGGGAGGAGCCGAUAUCCGACCUUCUUGGCUCGUGCGGCAAGUGCUCUCAAGAGUUCAAGCUGCUGGAUUUCGUCUCGCAGAUCUCCGCCGAGUCGCACGGGAUAAGCUAUGACGACGAAUCUGAUGAGUUCCAGGGCUCCCCGGUGGUUCAUUUCCGGAUAAGGGAUGACAUGAUUGCCUGCGAUAGGCGGAAGCUUGCGGCCUUGUCAACUCCACUGUAUGCGAUGCUUAACGGUGGGUUUAAGGAGUCACAUCUUGAGGUCAUUGACAUGUCUCGUAAUGGCAUCUCCCCUAUUGGCAUGCGGGCCAUCAGUAAAUUCAGCCUGUCAGGAAGACUACCGUAUUUGUCAGCAGAAUCUAUCUUGGAGAUGCUUGAUUUUGCUAACAAGUUCUGCUGUAAGGGCCUCAAGGAUGCCUGCGAGCAAAAGCUUGCUUCUUUUGUUUCUUCCAGGCAGGAUGCCAUAGAUUACAUGGAGUGUGCUAUUGAGCUGGGCUGUUCCAUCCUUGCCGCGUCAUGCUUGCAGGUGCUCCUGAAUGAGCUUCCAGAAUGCUUGAAUGAUGAGCAAGUGGUUCGGAUAUUCUCCUCUGCGAAUAAGCAGCAGAGAUCCACUAUGGCUGGCAAUGCAUCUUUCUCCCUAUAUUGCCUUCUUGGUGAAGUCUCCAUGAGCAUCAGUGCAACGUCAGAUGUCACCGUAAGCUUCUUGGAGAAGCUGGUUGACUCGGCAUCGGAUUCUAGACAGAAGCAGUUGUCCUUGCAUCAGCUGGCUUGCGUGAGGCUGCUAAGGAAAGAUCAUGCUGAAGCGGAGCGCCUGUUCAAUGCCGCCUUUACCGCUGGUCAUGUCUACUCGGUAGUGGGGUUGGCUAGAUUGGCCUCUCUGAGGAGCAAUAAGCAUUAUUCUCUCAACUUGCUUGACUCUGUGAUGUCAUCUCGCUGGCCUCUUGGGUGGAUGUAUCAAGAGAGAGCCCUAUAUCUGGACGGUGAUAGCAAGCUGGAGAAUCUCAAUAAGGCUACUGAACUGGAUCCUACCCUUACAUACCCCUAUAUGUUUCGAGCUGCAUCUUUGAUGAAAAGGCAAAGUGUUGAAGCUGCCCUGAUGGAGAUUAACCGGAUCCUGGGGUUCAAGCUGGUCCUGGAAUGCUUAGAGCUAAGGUUCUGUUGCUACCUUGCUCUAGAGGACUACAGAGCUGCCUUAUGCGAUGUACAGGCAAUCCUCACGCUUGCUCCAGAUUAUCGUAUGAUUGGUGGUCGGGUGGCUGCGAAGCAGCUGCGUACACUUGUGAUGGAGAAUGUAGAGCAAUGGACGACUGCUGAUUGCUGGAUGCAGCUUUAUGAUCGGUGGUCCUCUGUGGAUGAUAUUGGAUCCCUCUCGGUCAUAUAUCAAAUGCUGGAGUCAGAUGCUGCUAAGGGAGUACUCUACUUCAGACAAUCUUUGCUACUUCUCAGAUUAAAUUGUCCUGAGGCUGCAAUGCGCAGCUUGCAGCUUGCUCGCGAGCAUGCGGCAAGCCAGCAUGAACGACUUGUUUAUGAAGGAUGGAUACUGUAUGAUACUGGCCACUGCGAGGAAGGAUUGCAGAAAGCGGAAGCAUCCAUUGCCAUACAGAGAUCAUUUGAGGCAUUCUUUCUAAAAGCUUAUGCUUUAGCUGAUUCGAGUCUUGAGCCGUCAACCUCAGCAACAGUCGUAUCGCUUCUUGAAGAUGCAUUACGGUGUCCCUCAGAUAGACUUAGGAAGGGCCAGGCUUUGAAUAACCUUGGGAGUGUUUAUGUGGAUUGCGGGAAUCUAGACUUGGCAGCUGAAUGCUACAUUAACGCUUUAAAGAUUGGCCACACGAGAGCUCAUCAAGGCCUCGCCAGGGUUCAUUUCCUUAGGAAUAACAGGACCGGUGCAUUCGAGGAAAUGACCAAGCUGAUAGAGAAGGCCAGGAGCAAUGCAUCAGCAUACGAGAAGAGGUCUGAGUAUUGUGACCGGGAUCUAACAAAAGCUGAUCUGCAGAUGGUCACCAAACUUGACCCCCUCCGGGUCUACCCCUACAGAUACCGUGCUGCUGUUCUGAUGGACAACCACAAGGAGAAAGAUGCCAUCUCAGAGCUGACCAAGGCAAUCGCCUUUAAGGCGGACCUGAACCUGCUCCACCUGCGUGCGGCCUUCCAUGAGCACGUGGGCGACAUCUCAGGCGCCCUCCGGGACUGCCGUGCAGCACUUUCCGUGGACCCCAACCACCAGGAGAUGCUCGAGCUUCAUCACCGGGUGAACAGCCAAGAACCCUGA